rnacentral:tRNA from 1 species
GCGGACGUGGCGGAAUUAGAAUACGCGCAGGUCUGAGGAACCUGGCCCAAUUUUGGGCGUGUGGGUGCAAGUCCCACCGUCCGCA